rnacentral:lncRNA from 1 species
GGAAAAGCUUGCUUAGAGGUGAAGCUUUCUUUUUCUUCACCAUUGGCUUGAAGAGAGCUUGGGUUUGAGAGGUAAGCUUUGAUAGCAACAAUGGUAGAUUGUAAGUAAUGAUUUGUAUGCUUAGAAAUGGGGUUUAGUGAAACUCCUAGAUGCUAAAUAGAUGGUUGAUGCUCGAAUUUAGAGAUCAAAUGAUGAAUCUUGCAUGGUUGCAUCUUAGGGCAUCAAAAGAGGUUUUGCUUGUGAGGGUUUUGAUCUAAAUUGAUCAUGUAUAAACCUAAUUGCUAGGUUUUCUGACGCGUUGGCGAAGUCGGUUCGGCGAUACGACGAGGCUACGUGAAGAUAUUAAAGAACGAAGCCGUUAAGGUACAGAUUGCCGCAGCUCGCGGCGAAAGCUUCCAAAAAUCACGAAAUCGGAACCCUAACCUCGUGAUAGCGAUAAAAGGUGGGAGGUGUCAUCCCGAAGCAACUGGGCUUCUCCCUAUAUCUAAGUAUUUCUAUGUUGAACAUACUACAUAUAUAGUAUCAUGCAUGUUAGGGUAUUUAGAUGUUACUUUUACUAUUCUUGCAUGCUCCCUUAUAUUGCGGCAUAGUAAGCUUGGCAUGUGAACUUAGGGUGCAUGAGAAUGAGUUUGUGACAUA